UACGUAGGGUGCGAGCGUUGUCCGGAAUUAUUGGGCGUAAAGAGCUCGUAGGCGGUGUGUCACGUCGGCCGUGAAAACCUGCAGCUUAACUGUGGGCGUGCGGUCGAUACGGGCAUCACUGGAGUUCGGCAGGGGAGACUGGAAUUCCUGGUGUAGCGGUGAAAUGCGUAGAUAUCGAGAGGAACACCUGCGGCGAAGGCGGGUUGCUGGGCUGACACUGACGCUGAAGCGCGAAAGCUAGGGGAGCGAACGGG
rnacentral:rRNA from 1 species